AUUAUACUCCCUCCAUCUCAAAAUUCUGGUCUUAAAUUUCUCUAAAUAUGGAUGUAUCUAGUCACGUUUUAGUGUUAGAUACAUCCGUAUCUAGAUAAAUCCUAGACAAGAAUUUUGGGACGGAGGUAGUAGUUU
rfam:Hordeum vulgare subsp. vulgare, WGS project CAJW01000000 data, contig: morex_contig_10942